rnacentral:rRNA from 1 species
UACGGAGGGAGCUAGCGUUGUUCGGAAUUACUGGGCGUAAAGCGCACGUAGGCGGCUUUGUAAGUUAGGGGUGAAAGCCCGGAGCUCAACCCCGGAAUUGCCUUUAAGACUGCAUCGCUUGAAUCCGGGAGAGGUGAGUGGAAUUCCGAGUGUAGAGGUGAAAUUCGUAGAUAUUCGGAAGAACACCAGUGGCGAAGGCGGCUCACUGGACCGGUAUUGACGCUGAGGUGCGAAAGCGUGGGGAGCAAACAGG